UCGAAUGAGGUAGGCGCUAGUGUGCUGUGUAGUGUUGAAGACACAAGUGAACAGUCAAUAUUCCCAGGUUUUGUAAGGGACAUGGUGUGGCUAUGCAGUGGAUUAGCAACCAUUGGAAUGAACUGAGGGGACAUGUAGCUGAACCCAGCUUUUGGCAGAUGGAAGAAGAAGACCGCCACAAUGUCAUCAUGGCGUGUGACACAAAGGAUGACAGAAGUACAUGUGAAUAUGACCCCUUCACCUUAAUAUUUCAGUUCAUGGAGGAUUUUGCUAAAUGUAUAGACCAUGUAAACAAACACAAUAUUGUGGUUGCUGCUUUGUGUUUGGAGGCAUUGGAGUCAGAGCCCUAUUGUGAAUUCUUGGAGGAGUAGGUCAGAGCAGGUCGCGUUUUUAUAUUUCAGGUUUAAUUGGGCUACCGACUGUUUGUGCUGCGCUUGCAGGAGGGCCUUUACGGAUCCCAAGUGCGACAUGCAAACCGUCACUAGCCGCCUGGUGUUGUGUCGCUGAUAGAGAACCCACCAUUAGUGUGUGUGUGUGUUAGCAUGCUGUACGUAUAACCAUUAUCUUCAGAGUUUGUCAUACACAGCAGUGGUCAUGCUUUUCUAUGUAUGUCCUUGUGAAGUUUGUAUGUCCUUGUCAAUGAUUGUCCUAACCUUUAAAUUUCAUUUUACCAUUAUUAACAUUGUCUUCCGUCAUGUCUUGUCCUACUAACACCCCACUCGUGGCCUGCACCUUGACGUGGUGAGUGGGCUUUCAACUAAACAGGUCUUACUUUCAUGUUCCCAUUGACAGGUUUUCAAACAGCCUUCUUGAACUAAACACUAUUCCUGAGUUUGUUUGUUGUUAUUUCACGGCAGGCCACCUUCAGCAUCCACUCCGCAUUACUGCCAGCAGAGACAGGUGUCUUGUCCUACUAACAGCCCGUUCGUGGCCUGCACCUUGAUGUGGUACAAGUUAUCCGAUGUUGUGACUUUCUUGAAGAAGUAGUGUCAUCUCAACUUACUGGGCAAAGGCUGGAGCUAAAAGUGGUAUCACCACUUUCAAAGAACAGCUGGAUGAACUGGAGAAAGGUAAAAUCAAUUGUUUAACUCAAGGGGAGGCGGAAAAUUGGUGUCAUUCCCCAAAUGGUAGAAAAUCCCUUUAAUAACAUAGGGUUUAAUAUGACAUCGCUAUGACAGCUUCGACUCCUCUUGGAAGGCUUUCCACAAGGUUUAGGAGUGUGUUUAUCGGAAUUUUUGACCAUUCAUCCAGAAGCACAUUUGUGAGGUCACACACUGAUGUUGGAGGAGAAGGCCUGGUUCUCAGUCUCCGCUCUAUUCAUCCCAAAGGUGUUCUAUCGGGUUGAGGUCAGGACUCUAUGCAGGUCAGUCAAGUUCCUCCACAUCAAACCCUGUCAUCCAUCCACUGCCAUCGGUGAGAGGCCUCUGCCGUAGGCCUCGAGAAGCCUCAGUGGUCAAGCCAGGGGUCAGAUGACAGCCCAGGGCUCUUGCAAUGCCUCCGGCCUUUGCAGGCGUGGUGGGCGGGAUCGGCGAGAGGCCUGGUGCGUGAGUGGGUCUCACAAAGCCUCAGGGGUCAAGCCAGGAUCAGGCGGCAGUCUAGGCCUCUCACAAGACCCCGGGCCCAUGCUGGAGUGGUGAGCAGGCUCUCGGUGCGGCCUGGUGCGUGUGUGAGCGUCUGCCGUCUGCCGUAGGCCUCUAGAAGCCUCAGAGGUCAAGCCAGGGGUCAGACGGCCUAUGCUAGCUGCAGUAAUGCGUGCGAUGGUGGUC